CAAGCGUUAAUCGGAAUGCUGGGCGUAAAGCGCACGCAGGCGGUCAAUUAAGUUAGAUGUGAAAUCCCCGGGCUUAACCUGGGAACGGCAUCUAAGACUGGUUGGUGUAGAGUCUCGUAGAGGGGGGUAGAAUUCCAUGUGUAGCGGUGAAAUGCGUAGAGAUGUGGAGGAAUACCGGUGGCGAAGGCGGCCCCCUGGACGAAGACUGACGCUCAGGUGCGAAAGCGUGGGGAGCAAACAGGAUUAGAUACCCUGGUAGUCCACGCGGUAAACGAUGUCGAUUUGGAGGUUGUUCCCUUAGAGGAGUGGCUUCCGGAGCUAACGCGUUAAAUCGACCGCCUGGGGAGUACGGCCGCAAGGUUAAAACUCAAAUGAAUUGACGGGGGCCCGCACAAGCGGUGGAGCAUGUGGUUUAAUUCGAUGCAACGCGAAGAACCUUACCUACUCUUGACAUCCAGAGAAGACCACAGAGAUGUGGUUGUGCCUUCGGGAGCUCUGAGACAGGUGCUGCAUGGCUGUCGUCAGCUCGUGUUGUGAAAUGUUGGGUUAAGUCCCGCAACGAGCGCAACCCUUAUCCUUUGUUGCCAGCGCGUGAUGGCGGGAACUCAAAGGAGACUGCCGGUGAUAAACCGGAGGAAGGUGGGGAUGACGUCAAGUCAUCAUGGCCCUUACGAGUAGGGCUACACACGUGCUACAAUGGCGGAUACAAAGUGAAGCGACCUCGCGAGAGCAAGCGGAACACAUAAAGUCUGUCGUAGUCCGGAUUGGAGUCUGCAACUCGACUCCAUGAAGUCGGAAUCGCUAGUAAUCGUAGAUCAGAAUGCUACGGUGAAUACGUUCCCGGGCCUUGUACACACCGCCCGUCACACCAUGGGAGUGGGUUGCAAAAGAAGUCGGUAGCUUAACCUUUGGGAGGGCGCUGACCACUUUGUGAUUCAUGACUGGGGUGAAGUCGUAACAAGGUAACCGUAGGGGAACCUGCGGUUGGAUCACCUCCUUACCU
rnacentral:rRNA from 1 species